GGGGGGGGACUUAAAGGGCCAGAUACACGGAUACAGGGUAAGUGAAGGCGAUAUUGGGACUUCUUCAAGCGGAGUAGAACCCUAUUCGCAGAGACAGGAGAAACAAUAAGACGCGAUCACGUUACUCAGGAAUGGGGCCAGGAUCGCAGUCUCACGAAGAAACAGAUUCAGAAAUCCUGAGCAGCUUGCAUAAAGUCAUGCACCUGAACAGCGCGAACCUGCCGUCCCCCGGGACCGAGGCCUGGCCCCCUUUGCCCUUCCCAGCCCUGCCCCCCUCGUUCCUGGGCACCCCAAACCCAGCCCACCUGGGGCUCCCCGAGCACCUGGCCUCGCUUACUGUCCCCAUCCGCCUGGACGCCCUGUCCUACCUCCUGCACAGCGCCCUGCUCGGGGCCUACCACCUCCAGCAGACCUUGCCCAGCUGCCCCUUCCUGUCACCUUCUGCCUCGUUCCCAUGACCCAAUCAACUUCCAAAAGCCCUGCCUCUGAACACCAGAGGUGACACUUUGGGAGGACAUUAUAUAACACAUAAUAUAUUUGUACUUUGAGUUCAGCAGACCUGAAGCCCCUCACUUUCAUGGCUUAUGUCAUUGGCUUCAGAACCUUCUCCCUCUUGGUAUAAACCAAAAUCUGCUUGACAGGUAAGAAUCCCAAAUAUUAUUUUUCUGGCCAUGCUAUUUAGUCAUUUCCUUUUCUGCUUCCUCACAGUAUUGAUCUGUCCUUUCUUUGCAGGCAUUUUUGCCUGAAAAUCACUUUGCGAUUCACCUCUCAGGUGAAUACUCUUCAUUUCCUUCUCAGUGUUUUUGCAGAAUGGAUCUUUGUCUCUAUAUUGAGUGUUUAAAUGGAACAUGACAUAGCAACAUUCUUCAGUCUCUCCCUGGAUAGUUUGACCUGGUUAACAACACAAUCUUCAUUGUGGUUCUCCUGAUUCCAAGUUCUCAGCCAUAUCCUUU
rnacentral:lncRNA from 1 species